GCUCAGCGAGGCUUUCCUGUCACUGGGUACUACUACUCCCAGCCCGCCUCGGAGCCGCCCGAGCCACCCCUCGGUCUUUAGUUUACGAGUGGCAAUUUGACUUGCUCUGCUGCAUGUCUGGAGGGAUCGAGGAAAGUGUGGAGACGCCCCGGGGAUUUAGGGAUCGCAGUUUGGAAAGCAAGCCAGCCAAACAAAUAAACAAAACCCACCCGCCCUAACAAAUAUGAGGCUGCUGGAGAGGGCGAGGAAAGAAUGGUUCAUGGUCGGGAUAGUGGUGGCGAUCGGCGCCGCUAAGCUCGAGCCGUCGGUCGGAGUGAACGGGGGACCACUGAAGCCAGAGAUAACUGUGUCCUACAUUGCCGUCGCAACGAUAUUCUUCAACAGUGGACUGUCAUUAAAAACGGAGGAGCUGACCAGCGCACUGGUGCACCUGAGACUGCAUCUUUUCAUCCAAAUCUUCACACUUGCCUUCUUCCCAGCAGCAAUAUGGCUCUUUCUUCAGCUCUUAUCAGUCACAUCCAUCAACGAGUGGCUUUUAAAAGGUCUGCAGACAGUAGGUUGCAUGCCACCCCCUGUGUCUUCUGCCGUGAUUUUAACCAAGGCAGUUGGUGGAAAUGAGGCAGCUGCGAUAUUUAAUUCAGCAUUUGGAAGUUUUUUGGUAAUUAUAGACAAGAUGGGUUUUUGUUUUGAAGCUCAAGAUGACCUUAAACUUCUGCUUCUAACCCUUUACCUGCGUAUCCCAUGUGCUGGAACUACAGGGCAUUGUUGUGACUCCGGUGCUCCUGCUGCUUUUCCUCGGUUCAUCCUCUUCGGUGCCUUUUACAUCCAUUUUCUCUCAGCUGUUUAUGACGGUGGUGGUUCCUCUUGUCAUUGGACAGAUCGUCCGACGCUACAUCAAGGACUGGCUGGAGAGGAAGAAGCCACCAUUUGGUGUGGUCAGCAGUAGCGUGCUACUCAUGAUCAUCUACACCACCUUCUGUGACACCUUCUCCAACCCAAACAUCGACCUGGACAAGUUCAGCCUCAUCCUCAUACUGUUCAUAAUAGUCUCCGUUCAGCUGAGCUUCAUGCUUCUGACUUUCAUCUUCUCCACACGGAAUAACUCGGGGUUCACACCAGCAGACACAGUGGCUAUCAUCUUCUGCUCCACACACAAGUCCCUCACCUUGGGAAUCCCAAUGCUGAAGAUAGUGUUUGCAGGCCAUGAGCAUCUCUCGCUGAUAUCCGUGCCCUUGCUCAUCUACCACCCAGCUCAGAUUCUCCUGGGAAGUGUGUUAGUGCCAACAAUAAAGUCUUGGAUGGUGUCCAGGCAGAAGGGAGUGAAGCUGACAAGGCCGACAGUGUGACUCGGGUGGCGCCAGCCUUCCUGGAGUGUGUACAUAUAUGUACAGGCUGUACAUACAGGGGUUCUGAGGACCUGUCCUUGGGGAUGCUGCUUUGAUGCCUAUUUUAUUUUUUUACAGAAAAAAAUAUGAUAUACCUGUUUAAGUGCCUUACGAUGUUUUUGACAAGAGCGUUAUUUCCAAAACACACUCUGUUGGCUACUGCCAAGGGUAGUACAGUAUUUUGGACUCAUUUUUUUCCCUAAGGCAGAAAAAAAAGUUCUAGUAAGGGACAAAAGCUAACACGUUUUCUUCGUACUGCCUUUGUGCAGGCAAGACUCUAAUAGCACUAUAACGUUCAAAAUGAGGUCAUGCCAUCCAGAAACCUCCCUCCUGGUGACAGUGAACGAUUCCAAAGUCUCAUUCACCGCACACUUUGAUUCACCGAGUGGUUCUUUGUUUCUAAGACUGUGACGGGCUCUUCCUUAUCAACUCAGCGGGGGAUGCAGAUCGCAGAGAUGCCGAGAAGCGUCAGGUACCUCAUUCCUUGACACCGUCUUCUUCCAUCCAUCCCCGCACACUCCAGAAACACUUCAGUCCCAGCACAGAGUGUGUGUGGGGGCUGGGGGGGGGGGGGGGAGUGCAGCUUAGAUGUAUUAUCGGCUGCUUCAGAGAAAGUCCUGGUGAGUGUUGCCGUGAACUCGGACAGUGCUUUGGGACGUCUGCAAUCGUACCUCAGUAUGCUUCUCCCUUCCAUCAUUCCUUAGUUUCCCAUUUUACUUACACACAACAUCCCCGUGCAACACCCAAAUGUCACAGUCAGCUGGAGAGUCACAGAAAUCAACAGUGGAUUAUGUGUUCACAUUCCACAGCUGGUUCCAAGCACAUUCCUGUUACACUGUUCCAAAUCGUUCCUGUUGGCAAGACACAACCUGUUACAUUAAGCGCACUUGAGACAUCUGAGAAGAUUUAUGAAUCAUUUGACAGAUGUUCACAACAUCUCUUAAGAAAUCAAAUCCUAUCGCCUUAGGAGCCAGAGAAAAUAAACAUGAGGCCGUGGGCAUGAGCUAAUGUUACAUGUCCACACUGCUAGUCAGGUGGAAGAAGGGCUGGUCCAGAAGAGCAGGCAGGACCUUCCACUCACCGAGCUGUCAACAGGAUGAGUCCGGGAACUGGGCACCAGCUUUGGAAAGGACUCCAGAAAAGCCUACGCUGAACCCAAACAAGAAGCUAAAGCAGCAUACUGAACAGUGGUGGGAGCGUCUUUCCUGAGCUUCCUGCUUAGUGUUGGAACAGGCAUCACGGGUCUCCCCAGCAGCUGCCUUUGCUGUUGGUAGUGGGGGCUGUGGACCCACAAUCAAUCAUUCCUUCAGAAUUCCCUGGGCUUUUCAGUGGUGUUGGGUUAUGUUAUGGUUAGCAUUGGUGUUGUAGAUGAUGGUAGUUUAUGUCAUAGUUACCGUGGUUGGCGCUGGUGUUAUGGUGUUAGCACCAGGUCCUCUGUGUCACUGUCUCGGGACUUCAUAAUUCUGAGCAUAGCUAUAACACUGGUGUCAGGCCUGGCAGAGAUCCACGCUGCACGGCCUGUGGGGACCAUGCUGGGGACGAGGAGGCAGUGAGUCUGUUUGGUGAGUGUGCUGCCUCCAUGGAGCACAAAGGUUUUCAAGUCUCACCCCCACAGCCUUGGGGCUUUAGAGGAAGUAGACACUGUCUGCCUGCCAGAGUUGUAGACGCAACCCUUCCGUCAUUUGAACACUGGUUUCCCCGCCGACCACAUCUACCUCUCUGUGCGUGACUGCGACAAAGUUCAACUGAAGAUGCUAUGGUAACUUUUUCUCUUUUGCUUUAAAACUGUCUUUUGUUUUCAAACAAAACUGAUUUAUAUCAUGAGUUUUGGGAGCUUUAGUAACAUGUCUGUGGCUACUUCUCCUUUUACACAAAUAUGAUAGCAUAUUUUUCAUGGUAAGGAAAAAAAUAAAAUCAAAAUUUGCUUUAAUUUAUGCUCAUUAGGAUUGAACUGUCAGCUUAAAAUACUUUCUAUGUUUCUGCACUGCCAAUGUCUGUUUUAUGUAUUUGUUUGUCCAAAUGUACCUAUAAAAAGAAUACAUUAGACAGUUAUGUUUACUCAUUCCAACCUGGAAUUGGUUUUAAACGGCUGGAACUUUAAGGAACGGCACUGCAGUCUUUACGCAUGUUACAAACGUUAAGGUUCUGUGGAUUUUUUAAAUUCUUCCCUAUUCUGUUUUAAACUGGCACACCUCUGGUUGACGCUCAGUGUUUAUGCUAAAAACCAAAUUUUUUCAAAGAGAUGGCUAAGUAAUUAAGUGGGUUAUUUAUAAUGAAUGGAAAAUUUAAAAAAAAAAUUCUAUGAUUAAACAGAGAGUACUUGACGAA